UACGGAGGGUGCAAGCGUUAAUCGGAAUUACUGGGCGUAAAGCGCGCGUAGGCGGCUUAGUAAGUCGGAUGUGAAAGCCCCGGGCUUAACCUGGGAACUGCAUUCGAUACUGCUGGGCUAGAGUAUGGAAGAGGGAAGUGGAAUUCCGGGUGUAGCGGUGAAAUGCGUAGAUAUCCGGAGGAACACCAGUGGCGAAGGCGACUUCCUGGGCCAAUACUGACGCUGAGGUGCGAAAGCGUGGGGAGCAAACAGGAUUAGAUACCCCGGUAGUCC
rnacentral:rRNA from 1 species